AGAACGAACGCUGGCGGCAUGCCUAACACAUGCAAGUCGAACGCUCUUGGUUUCGGCCAAGGGAGUGGCGCACGGGUGAGUAACGCGUGGGAACCUGCCCUGGAGUGGGGGAUAACCGAGGGAAACCUCGGCUAAUACCGCAUACGUCCUGAGGGAGAAAGAUUUAUCGCUCUAGGAGGGGCCCGCGUCGGAUUAGCUAGUUGGUGGGGUAACGGCCCACCAAGGCUAUGAUCCGUAGCUGGUCUGAGAGGAUGAUCAGCCACACUGGGACUGAGACACGGCCCAGACUCCUACGGGAGGCAGCAGUGGGGAAUAUUGGACAAUGGGCGCAAGCCUGAUCCAGCAAUGCCGCGUGAGUGAUGAAGGCCUUCGGUUGUAAACCGCUUUCACCAGGGACGAAGCGAGAGUGACGGUACCUGGGGAAGAAGCGCCGGCUAACUACGCGCCAGCAGCCGC
rnacentral:rRNA from 1 species